rnacentral:rRNA from 1 species
UACCUUUCAGUGGGGGAUAACGUAGCGAAAGUUACGCUAAUACCGCAUAUUCUGUGAGCAGGAAAGCAGGGGAUCGCAAGACCUUGCGCUGAUGGAGCGGCCGAUGUCAGAUUAGCUAGUUGGUGGGGUAAAGGCUCACCAAGGCGACGAUCUGUAGCGGGUCUUAGAGGAUGAUCCGCCACACUGGAACUGAGACACGGUCCAGACUCCUACGGGAGGCAGCAGUGGGGAAUUUUGGACAAUGGGCGCAAGCCUGAUCCAGCCAUGCCGCGUGAGUGAAGAAGGCCUUCGGGUUGUAAAGCUCUUUCGGCCGGGAAAAAAUCGCUUGGGUUAAUACCCUGAGUGGAUGAUGGUACCGGAAUAAGAAGCACCGGCUAACUACGUGCCAGCAGCCGCGGUAAUACGUAGGGUGCGAGCGUUAAUCGGAAUUACUGGGCGUAAAGCGUGCGCAGGCGGUUUCGUAAGACAGGCGUGAAAUCCCCGGGCUCAACCUGGGAACUGCGUUUGUGACUGCAAGGCUAGAGUAUGGCAGAGGGGGGUGGAAUUCCACGUGUAGCAGUGAAAUGCGUAGAGAUGUGGAGGAACACCAAUGGCGAAGGCAGCCCCCUGGGCCAAUACUGACGCUCAUGCACGAAAGCGUGGGGAGCAAACAGGAUUAGAUACCCUAGUCCACGCCCUAAACGAUGUCAACUAGGUGUUGGGUGGGUAAAACCAUUUGGUACCGUAGCUAACGCGUGAAGUUGACCGCCUGGGGAGUACGGCCGCAAGGUUAAAACUCAAAGGAAUUGACGGGGACCCGCACAAGCGGUGGAUGAUGUGGAUUAAUUCGAUGCAACGCGAAAAACCUUACCUACCCUUGACAUGCCAGGAACUUGCCAGAGAUGGCUUGGUGCCCGAAAGGGAGCCUGGACACAGGUGCUGCAUGGCUGUCGUCAGCUCGUGUCGUGAGAUGUUGGGUUAAGUCCCGCAACGAGCGCAACCCUUGUCGUUAAUUGCCAUCAUUUAGUUGGGCACUUUAACGAGACUGCCGGUGACAAACCGGAGGAAGGUGGGGAUGACGUCAAGUCCUCAUGGCCCUUAUGGGUAGGGCUUCACACGUCAUACAAUGGCCGGUACAAAGGGUUGCCAAGCCGCGAGGCGGAGCCAAUCCCAGAAAGCCGAUCGUAGUCCGGAUCGCAGGCUGCAACUCGCCUGCGUGAAGUCGGAAUCGCUAGUAAUCGUGGAUCAGCAUGUCACGGUGAAUACGUUCCCGGGUCUUGUACACACCGCCCGUCACACCAUGGGAGCGGGUUCCGCCAGAAGUAGGUAGCCUAACCGCAAGGAGGGCGCUUACCACGGCGGGGUUCGUGACUGGGGUGAAGUCGU